rnacentral:lncRNA from 1 species
GUCUUCAAAAGACAUUGGAAACCAAAAUCUCAUUUAAUCUUCACUCAAAAAUCGUACUUCUCACCCUAAAAAAAAUCCCCAUCACCAAAAAGUUUUGAGGAACAACUGUUGGUUAUCCAGAACCAUCGCACCACCUGCAUCAUCAUCUUCAUCAUCCCCACUAUAGUUCAGAGCCACCAUCUCUACGAAGUAAUCAUACUUUAGAUUUAUACCCUCUCUCCUUUUCCAUCCCUCUUAUGCUAAGAAAUGAGCCGAUUUAUUCGCCUCUCGGGAGGCAUAAACAAUCUCACAUUUUAUCACAGAGAGAGAAUCCUUUUCCAUCACCGCCUUUUGGAAAUCGAGAUCCAACCUUAGGCUAAGCGCUUGAAGUCAUGCAAGGCCUUAGUCGUAAAAACUAACACUAUAUUUCCAUUUACCUUGACAAAAGGUUCAUCUGGUGGUCUCCACCUCUCCUAACCCCCUUCACAAUAGCUAAUUUCUUCAUGAUUUCAUUUAGUUCAGCCACAUAGGACGAAAUCAUACUUACAAUAUGUUGUGACAAGGAAAACACUCUGUCAUGCACCUAUUUGUUCCACUCUGACCAAAGGAUCCAGAUCAUAGAUGCAAUCUGCCGACAGGUAUAUUUCGAUAAGUUAUAAAACAGUCCAAAUAGCCAAUCUUGAAAAUUUUUCCUCCGCUCCUCACCAUUCCAUUUAAUGUUCAGCAAGUCCCAGACAACAGCAACAAAAGGAUAGUCCCGAAAUCCAUGUUCUAGUUUUUCCACUCCCCUUGUGCACUUUGGGCAAACCGCAGAUCCUGCUAGACGUCUGUUAUACAAAUUGUGUAAAUUAGGUAUUAGGUUUCUGAAAAUUUGCUAGACUAUGAUUUUAACCUUUUCUGAAAAUUCCAAUUUCCAUAGCUUCUUGUAAAAAAGAUUGUAACAUUCCACUGUAUUUUCAUUUAAAUCCUUAUUUCCUUGUAAUAGUCUGUAACCACUUCGAACGGUAUACUCACUUGAGGGAUCAACCUGCCAAACCACCAUAUCCGACUGCGGGUUUAAAGCUAGAGGAAUACCUUGAAUCCUAUUUGCCACGUCAGGAUCAAAACUACUGGCAAUUUUUUCCACAUCCCACAUUUGAUCCUGAUGUACAAUCAAAUCAGAGACUGUUCUAUAAGGUACAUUCUCAUUUUCACCCUAAAUUUUUUGUGUAGGCAGACCAAGAAUCUAGCUAUCCUCCCAUAUGUUAAUACUUGUGCCCGUACCCACUUGCCAGCCCAGCCCCUCCAGCAAUAGACCCUUUGCAGACCAUAUACUUUUCUAGGUAUAAGAUGGGUAAGCUCCUAAACUAGAUUUCAAAAAAUCUGAAUUCGGGUUUUUAAAAAUGUGUUUCCUUAAGUUUAAUUAUAAAAAUAUAUAAUAAUUAAUUAGUUUUUUAAAAAAAUUUAGAUAGUAAACUAAACUUUUUGUGCAAGUUAAAUUAAGUUAAUCCUGUAUUCGAGCUUGAAAUGUAUUUAGAAUCAAACCUCAACCAAACUCGACCCAUAAAUGUUUCUAGUGAUACAUAUUUAAAUAAGUUUGUCAAAAAUUCUCCAAAAAUUAUUGUAAUUGCUAGAAUUAACAUGGGCCACAAUAAAUUAAGAGGAAUUAAAUAAUAUAAAACAACAUAUUGAAAAUAAAAAUAUAGCCGAACCCAGAUUAAAAUAAAUCCAAAAAAUAUACAUAUAAAAGACUUAAAUUAAAAUGAUUUAAUAAAGAAUACAUGCAUGACAUUUGUGCAUGCUAAAAUUUGGAUCUAGCCAUUAAAGUCUCAAGAUCUCAACUUUACUUGCACAACUAAAGCAUCCUUAAUUGAUCCAAUUUAUGAAUUAAAUUAAUAAAAAUUAAAAAAAAUCCUUAAAACAAACUGAAAAUAGUUUAGAACACACGUCGAUGAGUUGGUUAGGCUUUACCUAAUGCUAUAGACUGAAAAUAAAACCACAUUAUGUGAUUCAUUGAUAGCAUUUAAGUUUAUAUAUUAGCAACGACAUAUUAAAUAUAGAUCAUACAAAAAUAUUAUUUAAUAUCACAAAUGCUACUCAAUUCAACUAUUAAUUUAAAAUAACAAAUUCUUACAGAAUUAUGAAAUGUAUAAAAUAGAUUAAUUUUAAACAAGUAUUAUCCAAGUAAUUUUUAUCUAUUUAUUGUAUUUUUUUCUCAAAAUACUUAUGAUACAUUUUUAUCAAAAUGUUGUUUUUUUAUGGUGUGACUUAUGUAAUGG